AGUUAUAAUACAGUCACUCAUGAUGAAUUGAUGAAGACCUCCAUUUUAGAUAACAAAGGAUACACAUUAAGAAAUUAAUGAAAGAGGUUUAUUUCAACAUGAGGCUAUGGAACAAGUAAAUGAGUAUGUGUAGGCUGUGGUCCUGAUCAUGUCUACAACCAAUAAAGAGAUGUUAGUAUAGUGCUAUAUCUGGACUAGUGUACUAUCACUAUGAGCAUUUUCUGGACUGUGAUAUCAUUAUGCUUCAUAGAAAGAUUCAGUCAAGAGUGGGGCUUCUGUUGAAUGUAUCACAUUGACUUUAAAGACAUCAUUGGAAGGCAAGAAAGUGCUGGACAGAAAAUGUCUACACAUAGACAUAAACAUAAUUUCUCACAAAGAUUUGUCACUUUUUAUAAUUAUUAUAAUAAUAGUCUAGAUUUUUAUCAGAAACUAAGCUGUAAUUUACAAUUAUUAGUUGAA